GAUGAACGCUGGCGGCGUGCCUAAUACAUGCAAGUCGAGCGAACAGAUGAGGAGCUUGCUCCUCUGACGUUAGCGGCGGACGGGUGAGUAACACGUGGAUAACCUACCUAUAAGACUGGGAUAACUUCGGGAAACCGGAGCUAAUACCGGAUAAUAUAUUGAACCGCAUGGUUCAAUAGUGAAAGACGGUUUUGCUGUCACUUAUAGAUGGAUCCGCGCCGCAUUAGCUAGUUGGUAAGGUAACGGCUUACCAAGGCAACGAUGCGUAGCCGACCUGAGAGGGUGAUAGGCCACAUUGGAACUGAGACACGGUCCAGACUCCUACGGGAGGGAGCAGUAGGGAAUCGGCCGCAAUGGGCGAAAGCCUGACGGAGCAACGCCGCGUGAGUGAUGAAGGUCUUCGGAUCGUAAAACUCUGUUAUUAGGGAAGAACAAAUGUGUAAGUAACUAUGCACGUCUUGACGGUACCUAAUCAGAAAGCCACGGCUAACUACGUG
rnacentral:rRNA from 1 species